CCCGGCGCGGAUAUCGCCGCCUCUCCGGGGCCAAAUAGUUCGUCCGACGAGAAGAGUGGAGCUGCAACUAUAAUGAAGAUGGGAAGGCUUUGUUCAGUAUUAUUGGAGCUUCUGCUGCCCUUUGCCAUAUUGGCCUGAAUCUCUAUGUAAAAUAACAUAAUAGAAUAGAAGAGAGCACAGUAGAAGAGAAAUGCUUUCUUUCAGUUCUCUUUACUGUUCUCCUUCCUUCUAUUCUAUCAGUUGUCCAUUUCUUUCUUUUAUUUUCUUGCUGUGGUUUAUUUUUUUGGCCGAGCCAAAGAGUGAGACGUCGUUGGGGUUGUAUUAGAUAUUAUUUAUAUUGUACUGUUGUUUUUUGUUCUUCCA